CACGUCAGCGUGACCUGCUGACAUGGAAGGAAAUCGCGCCCUUGAGAGAGCGAUUUCCUUCCACUUCAACAAGUCGUGCUGACGUGG
rfam:Gossypium hirsutum cultivar TM-1 chromosome 17, whole genome shotgun sequence